UCCGUCGGGGGCAAGCGUUGUCCGGAUUUACUGGGCGUAAAGAGCGUGUAGGCGGCCAAGCAGGUCCGUUGUGAAAACUGGAGGCUUAACCUCCAGACGUCGACGGAAACCGCGUGGCUAGAGUCCGGAAGAGGAGAGUGGAAUUCCUGGUGUAGCGGUGAAAUGCGCAGAUAUCAGGAAGAACACCAAUGGCGAAGGCAGCUCUCUGGGACGGUACUGAAGCUGAGGAGCGAAAGCGUGGGGAGCGAACAGG
rnacentral:rRNA from 1 species